CUUCAAAUGAAACACAGGUGUUCUAUUCAUGUCACCACUCACCACUUCAGCUCUAUAUUUUUCCCUUACUUCUUGGUUGCUCCUUCAGGAUUUUCCUUUUUCUUUUGUUGCUUCUCUUUCUUCUUUUCUUAUCUUUGUUCGUGGUCAGUUCGCUGUACAUCUUUCCCCCCUGAACUGUUUUAUAAUUGGACCUGACAAUUGGAAAGUCUCAAAAUGCGAUAGGAUGUUUUGGAGUUCUGAGAGAUAGUGCUCUAAAUGUCCGUUUGAGUCCUUUCAUUGUGAAUGCGAUGGCAAUUUUGGAAGUUAAGUUUCUUCAUUGUUCUUUUCGUCCAUAUUCUGCAUUUUUCAUGGUUGGUUCUAUAUUCUAUAUGCUCCGCCUUCUAUGCUUUUUUUUUUUUGGGCUUAAUCUCUGAGUGAUUUCUACUGCUGUCUAACUUUUGUCGUGAGAUUUGGUGAGUUCUUUUUUCUUUACUUCCUUACCCUGCUUUUGUUAGUUGGUUUGUUUGCAUGUAUGUGGUUUCAUUUGUUAGGCUAAAUGGUGAGAUUAAGUAAGAGGUUAGUGUUUAAGGAUGUAAGCCACUACAAAUGUUUCUUUUCCUGUGCUCUCUUCAAUGUUAUCCAAGAUCACAUAUUUGCAAUUUUAACUUGGGGUUCAAGGGGUCUUAGGAAUUCAAGGAAGUAAUGACCGUUUUGAGUGUCCUGGGAUUGUUCGCUGUUGAUUCAACCUCUAUGGUGUUAUAGCAGUUUAAAGAGCGAGUAUUAAGAAGAUCUGAGUUGACAGAGGAAGAUAUGGUGCUCAAUACAUAAAAGGCCACCCACAAGAAAAACUAAUGAACUUGAGAGAAAUGAUCAGGUUAGAGGCGAUUUACUGGCAAAGGGAAUUGCUCUAAUGGAUGUAGGAACACAAACUGUUUGGAGGCCUUGCAGAGUAAUUGUUUAUUUUAUUUUUGGAUAGGUGACUUCUCCUAUUAAUCAAGUUGGUGAUCGCAAUUUGGCUAUGCUUAAAACUUUGGCAGAUGAUUACUAUUCGCAUAUGCUUUAUUGAUUUGCUUGCUUAUGAACUUCCUCAAAUGAAAUGAAAGUCCUACCUGGAGUGCUUCUGUGCAAUCAAGGACAACAAACAGUUGUGUUCUGUUAAUGGUAUUUUUAGACUCUCUGACUUAUAUGCUGAAUCAAGAAGAAUCUUUUUUUUUACUUUGUGUGAAUCUUGCUUUGGGGAUUCCUUGACGUUCUUCUGGGAAGAAUGACGAUGGCAAGGGGGCUAGGAAAGUUUUUUUUUUUUUUUGCCUCUGACAUAGCACUACAAAAACAGAAAAAAAAAAAAAAAAAAACUGUGAGUUGAUACCUCUUUACUUCUUGCAUGAAGAUAUAUGGGUGUCUGCUUUGUAGGAUAAAGUAACUAUACUUCAAUUUGCUUGAAUUGAUGGUUCAGAAUCAUAAGAUUUGCCUGACAUACAUAAGUUGAUAUAGACUUAUUCCAAUUAUGCCUUAUUAUUUCCUUAUAUUGAUAAUAUUUUGGACGAAUGUUGUAUUUUCCCAGUUAGCAAAGGUUAUCAUGUUCCUUCCUACAUGCAGAUUGCGAAGGAAGGAAAGAUAUAUUCAGGGGAUGGAGCAUGUGCCAACAAUAUUCAUGUAUAUGUAGAAAAAUGUUGAAGGGAAGGGCUUAACUUUGACUAAGAGAAUGAUGAUAUCCAUAAAGGAAACUUUCAGUGCCUUAUGGUUGAUCAAUAGAAGAUGACGGGAUCUACAGGAAGCAUAAGGAAAGUCAUAAAUUCUGAUCUCUUAAUGGAAGAUGUAACACGGGAUGGCUGAAAUGGUUUUCUGUCAAGACCUACCGCCCCCUUUAAUUACUAUUUUGUUCAUUCUAACAUAAAAGUAGAUAAGCUUAUGUAUUUUUUGAAUUGGUAAUCCUUGAUGUAUACUUUAAUGUUCUAUUUGAGCAAA